UUUUUUUUUCUGUUUUGUGACAACAAAAGCCAGGUUGAUCUCAGCUCACGCCCACUGAUCUGUCCUCUUAUCCAGGCUAUGCAAAACCUCUAGUUGACAGGAUAGAUGCUCACAACAGAUUCACUCACCGUCUCUAUCGGCCAUCAACUGUUAAUACAUAAGUCGCCGUUGGCAUUUCCAUAAGUUAUUAGUGACGGGAUGUUAAAUUCAUGAGGUUUCCUGCUCGUAAAAAAUCAGCUACUUUCAGUUGGAGGCUAAGUCUCGAGUAUAAAUUUUCCAUGUCCCUAGUGAUUCAUCAACAGCAUAUUAGCAUCAAAGCACUCUCAAUGCAGGCCGAUUGGACAGAUUCAGUUCAUCCUUUUUUGUUUGUUGCUGAUUUCGCUAUCUUAUGUAGUUAUUUUCUUGUUCAUGACCAGUUUAUGUGAACCACAAAUCUGGCUUUACUGAUGCUUCCGUGAACCCUCAUAUAUUAUGCUGGUUGGACCAAAUUGUUAUUCAGCGAGAAAGGGAGUCCUUUGUUGCAUUAGCUGAGCUGGUUCGAUCAGUCUUUGAUACUGUGUGUUUAUAAUUUCAGGGAAUACAGAGAGCAUGUAAAAGACCUUUCUUGUUUGUCCAAAGAUUUCCAGAGAAUUGUCCUUGUUGACAACAACCCAUACAGUUUCUUACUGCAACCAUUGAAUGGAAUACCAUGCGUUACGUUUUCGGCUGGACAACCUGUUGACGACCAGGUAAAAACUGGCUACGUACAUGAACAAUUCUUUGGCUCGACAGUUGCAGUCUCUGCUCUCUACUGUUACUGAUCCCUUUACGUGUUCUGGCAUUUUAGCUUAUGGGAACGAUGUUUCCGCUUCUCAAGCAUCUCGCUCUCCAAAAAGAUGUGAGGCCUGCAUUGUAUGAAGCAUUUCACAUGCCAGAGUGGUUCCAAAGACAAGGAAUCCCACAAAUUGAACAGGCAGUCUAGGAAUUGCAGCUACCACAUUGGACAAUUGAAAGUCUCAAAAACCUGCUACUGUACAGUAGAACUCUUUUAGCUCUCCCCUACCAGCGUUAUUAAUUCCCUUGACGGAGUCUCAGCAGCACAACCACCGUGGCAUCCUGCUCGUAGCCGCCAGGCGUGGCGGGAGGGCGAGGUUGGAGUCUGCGUGCUGCAUCAAUCCAAGCAGUCGACGCAGACUGGUUCGCAGCACGGCGCAACCCAUUCAUGGCACGUCACUUCCCUAGGAGCUGGACCACUUCAUCUUCAUCCGUGCAUGGCCUUUCAUCAAUGGCAACAACUUCUAUUAGAGGCCGAGUGAAGCACUUCCAGAGCCGAACCAAACGGAUAACGUUUUUAGUUCCUCUGUAGUAGUAACAGUUAGCACUGUUAGUAGCUAGUUGCAUUACCAUUCCCGCACUCCCUCUUGAAACAAACAGCACCAUGGUUGUAGUGCUCCCAACCAUUAUUUAGGUCAAGAACCAGAAAUCCGGUUGAAAACACAGUGCAUCAGAUUAAACGACAAAGGCAAAUCUAUGAAUUCCAUUUUGCUAUACCAUGAGUUGGAUCAACACUGUAGUACAUGGCAACUGUACAGAAAAAAAAAGGAACCACUUUUCUCAUAUUUACAUGCAUGAACCAGCGCAUAUACACGAUCGAUUCACCUUGCAAAACAGGUUUUUCAACGCCAAGUGUUGACCUAAAAAAACCACGAAGCCAAAUCCUACUGCAAAAGGAAACAUGUUGUUUCAGGAGCCAGUAGCUUCAGAAAGUGUUGCCUACUUGUCAGGAACGAGUCUGAUUGGCCGUUGAACUAUAUUUGAACGAAAGCCAUCGGUGUUGCAACGCUUCGCUGGCCGUUGGUCUGUUUCUGGGAUUUAUUUGCAGCAGGUAAGACAAAAAGUCAACAAAUUUCUUGUCUGGGCACUGCAAGUGGCGCCGCAAAGAGGAUUUCUCUGGGAUCAAAUACUCCAACUGAUCUGUCUCCUAUUUUUUAGCAGGAAAUGGAAUGGAAAAAGUAAGUAUCCAGUGAUGAAUGGAAACUGCACAAAGAACAAACAACUAAAAUUCUUAUGCCAAAGAUCUCAUGGUGUGAUGGUGACAACAAACUGUUAGGGUACCUCGUUCCAGUAAUUACCAGUCAUGUGGUUUUCAGGUCAUCAUUCAAAAUCAACACGAACAACAUCACUGAUUUGUUGUCAACUAUAGUGCAUACUGAAACAAAGUUAUGUUGGUAAUCUUGCAUAUAAUCCAAUAAUUACCUCGUUCGUGUGGAAAAGGUCAUAGUCAUCUGUGAAGUACUUCUGGGUCUCCUGUCCUGAUGCAAGCAUUUCCAUAUCAAUUGGACCAAUUAUCCCAAUCAUACGAGCAAGAAUGAUUGGCAUUGAUUCAUUAGGAAAGAGUACCUGUGACAUGUCAAAAGGGUCCAAGUCACAUCUAUGACGUCUUUUAGAAAACAGGAGUACAUAUAGCAAAUACUACUGUCAGUUUCAAGAGACAAUGAUUCCCCGUUAUAUGCAUUCUGAAAUCACAAGCAUUUUCCAGAUGUUUAGCAAUUUAAGCUUUUGAAACCACAGGAAAAUAGCCACCACACAAGGUUCGAAUCGUAAAUUCGCAUUUGGGUACAUAUUUCUUCGUAAUGCAAUGUCACCUAAGGUUCAACCAACAUGUCAAGCACCUACAGAAUUCUGGCAUAUAUACAUCUUCUCUGGAUGAGAUGAGUAACAAAACAAGGUAAAACAACACAAUGAGAAUCUCAAAUGCCAACAGUUAUUUACCACAGUAAAUGCCAACACAAUGGUAAACAAGAUUUUGUUAGUUUCAAUAUAAGCUUAAAAGACAUGCAAGGAUUUAACUGUAAGCACAACCUUACUUGUCAUUUGUUUUUUUUUAUUUCAGUUGGUUCACAUGUUGAAAUUUCAAUAUUAUACCAAACAAAACAGAGAACAGGAAGUCAAGAUAUAUACUUACUUCACCAGUGUACAGUUCAGAUAAGAUGCAGCCAAGAGACCAAAUGUCAAUUUUCUGAUCAUAUGGUAAACCCAAGAUGACCUCAGGAGAUCGGUAAGAACGUGAUUGGACAUAUAAGUUUAAGUUAUCUGACAAGAAGCAGCUGCUUCCAAGAUCAAUAACUUUGAUUUCACAUCUGCUGUAGCUCUUCAGAAGGAUAUUCUCUGGUUUCAGAUCACAGUGAACUAUGUUUAAAUGAUGCAAGUACACCAAAGCCUCCAAGCAUUGUCGAGCUAUAGCCUGAAAGCAAAGAGAAAACACUCUUACAUUUGUAGCUGCAAAUGCUUUUCUAAUUACUUGAAUUAGAGUUAACUAAUCCAUAUGACAGCAGUAAGGAGUAAUUUGAUCACAAAACAGUUGCAUAUACCUGUAUUCUGGGCAGUGAAAAGUACACCUCGUCACCAGACUCCUGGUUAUAUUUCUGAAACUCAUAAAGAUUUGCCCGUAGUAACUCAGUGACAAUAAAGAGAUGUUCCUGUUGAAUUGUUUCACCAUCAGCAAUUUGCACGUUCAAAAGUGAGCUUGGAUAAAUAUCAAAUAUGUAAAUUGUAAAAGUAUACAUAACAAACAGGAAAAACAUGCAACCUUUUAUUCUUAAUGGAUCCUUAGCACUUGGUAUGAAUGACCUCCCUAAGAGCAAUAUGGCUGUUGAUUGAAUUCUAUGGUGUAAAUGAAAGCACAAGACCUAGUUCACUGAAUAAGUGAAUAUGUGCAUCACACACCUGAUAGUAAAAAUAAUCAUAGAGACGCAAUAUAUGAUGAUCAUCAUCUGGAUCAUACUUAUUGACAAACUUGAGGAGCUUUAUCUCAUCCAAACUCUGGUCAAAGAAAUCCUUGUCAUUUUUAAUUAUUUUAAGGCAUACAUCAACUCCAGUGCGAAGGUCGUGUGCCCGUACAACCUUGCUGAAUGCAGCAGAACCAAGAUACUCAUUGAUACGAUAUCUUCCAGCUAUAACGGAAUCCAUGACAAUAGGGAAUUCUUUGUUUUCCUCAAAGCCAGUCCUGCAGUGGACAUCUUAGCAUGAGCACAGUGCCCCUAAAAUGAUUUGGCAGCAGAAGAAAAUAAGAAAGGUGUCUGAUGGUGAACCUGUUCUUCCGGUGGAAUAUUUUCAGGUCAAAUACUUCAUACUCCUGCUGAAACUUAGAGAGUGCAGGAUCAAUUUUUGGAUCUUCCUGAAAUUUGCGAGCGGUAGGGUUUUGAAGAUCUGUAUCUUCUGUCUUGAAGUCUUCCACCCCAUAAACAUCAAAAGGGACUGCACUCUCAGGAGAAGGAAGUAUGCAGUAGCUAUCUUUUAGAAAUUCUUUGCCAUUAGCAUUUUCCUCGUUUGUUACCAUACAUACAUCUAGGUUGGUAUUUCCUCUGACGUCAUCUUCAAGUCCAGUACCUGAAAAAGAUAACUAGAGUUAAAACAAAAAACAUUAAGUCAAGGGAAAAAAACCCCUCGGGGUUAGAAUGUUAGAUAGGUGAAUGACGAAUUUCAGAUUUACAAAGGCAUACAGAUCCGGACUAAGAAGCAAAAGCUGUGCUCACUGCAUCUGGGCUGUGGCUGCAGCUCAACAACAGAAUCCUAUUGUAGCUAAGACUUGCAGCUGCAGCCGCUGCAAUCUCAAGUGAGCAGGUUAAAAUUUCAUCAUGGACAUGUGGAACUAGAUUCAGCCUUCCUUUAUAUUACAAUUAUACCCACUGUUGCGGAUAGCAGUGACUAUAAACUCAACUAACCAUUACAAACCCUGAAAUUCAUGGCAAUGAAAUUUAGGGUUUAUUUUAUAUUCUGAGAAAGGGCACUUAUGUGAAGCAAAAUAGUAGUCAGGGAUUAGCACAAAUUCCAAACUCUCAGAGUGAUCCAAAUGACAAUGUCGUGAAGUGAGUAAAUGUGAGAAAUGAAACUGAGCAAAGGGAAAGAGGUAAGAACUACUUACUCUCAAGAGCAUCUUCAUCAGCCAAGUACGGAGUAAGCAUUUGAAGUUCCUUCUCCAGAGCACUAAGAUUCAAGCCGUCGUCCUCUCCUUUCUUGAAAUCCACUAACUGUUCGCUAGCAUCAACUAACGAAUUCAGUCUGAACAAGAAAGCUUCUGCAACACACUCAUCAAGCCCCUCCGUGUGGUCCUCCAUGGUAUGAUACCUCCCAUAAACAGAAACAGCGGAGCAAGAAUCUCUCAACAACUCCUCAUUAUAGCAACAACCACAAGGUGGCGAAGAGCAAGCAUUCUUCGCCUGUGUGCACCCAUGAGAGUCCGCAUUGCAGUCUCUAUGUACGUGUCUGAGACCGCAGCCAUCGCCAAGCUCCGGCGUCUCAGUCCGCUGCAAGCUGACGUCAGGACCAACAAUGAACUUGUCCUCCCCUUCGCUGCCAUCGCUCUCCGUGCUGUGUAACAGGUGGUUGUCGUAGAGCCAGUUGUCAGUGAAGAACGCAUCAGUGGUGUCGUACUCGCGGGCCGUCCCGAACUCCAUCUCCGACGAGGACGCCUCCGACGGUGCGCGAGGUGGUGGUGACCAUAGACCGCACGGAUUCAGCAUACCUGAUCCCCACGGGGAGAAGCCAAGACAAGCAUAACCGACCAAAAUUAGGAUCAGAAAAGUAAACAGACAAGCAAUCGCGCGAAGUAUCGAGAUUGGGAGCGGUGUCAAUGAGGGCAUGUACGCAUUGGGAAAAAAAAACUGUCGCAAAAGCACGCGGUACCUGAGGGCGUGGAAGGCAUGCUGACGAAGGUAUCAGAGGAGGAGCAGGAGCGUGGGCUGGCGAUCGCGCCGCCGCACGAGGCGCGGAGCCUCAGCGGCGGAAGCUGGGGGUCAUCGAAUCCAGGCGCCGACAUGGCUGGGUGCGAGCCGACUUGCGCCCGGGUCAAGCUCGCGGUCGCUCAGCCUGCAGCGGCUCUACCAUUUGAAGCGAAGCGAGGGGCAAAGCAAGCGGGCUGGCCGACGCAGGCACGCAGCCACAAUGAGGGGGUCGCUGACGCGCCGAGGACGGGCGGGGCGAAGGCGGCGGCACGGCACGGGAUCCAACGGCCGCCGCGCCCGGCGCCGCACAACAACUCUUCUAGAGUGCGCGUGGCGUCUGGACCCGCCGCCCCCAGAGGCGCAGGCGGUAGGCCCAGCCGUCGGCGUCCGCGGGGAUGCGGGGCGUCGCUGUCGCGUGGCGACUGGCGAUGCGGUGGGUGGUCGGGGAGGUGGGGAGUGGACUCCGAUGUGGAUUGCCGCCAUUAUUGUCGGUGGCUGGCGCAGGGACCCGCAGCAUACCUGGACGCCGUCCUCUUUGCGCUGCUUCGCUGGGAGAAGUGGGGAUUAUCUGCGCCUGCCAAGGGGCCGGCGGCGUCCCCGUGAGUACACCGUGACAGCCAGCCAACCGGAGCCCCAAAUGUUGGCGCUCACGGUGGCGUCAGAUCAGAUCCCAACAGCAGAGCAGACAGCAGACUGGGACACCAGAUCCGACGAGGGAGGCGGUUCGUACUGUCUCGUGUCUCGUCUAGUCGUCUCCACAUCCACAUAUAGAACGCAUCAUAAACACUCACUCAAUCGCUCCCGAUCAUUAAAAAACCCAAAAAAAAAUGUGGCCGGCUACUGAAUCAAACUAACUCAUGUCGCGAGUUAUCGGUUCGUUCGAAGAUUGAUUUGUUUAUAGUUUUAAUGAGGAGCCGGUAUUUCACACUCAUGUAGUUAAUAAGAAGUUAUUGAUUCUAAAUUUAUGUUAUUUUAUAUAAUGUAUUAUACUUUAUAAUUAGUUGAUAGAUGGAGCUAGAUCCUAUAAAAUAAUACUAUGACUCUGUCGCUUUAUUUGUAAUGGACGUAUAGACAAUCGAUAAUAGAAUAUAGAUAGAUACAACAUAUAUACGGUGUAGAGUAUAUAGAAUAGAUAGUAUAGUAUAGACUAAUAGACUAUGGAUAUACAGUAUAGUGUUAGGAUAUAUUUUAUAUAUGUCAAUAUUUUAUUUAUUUGAUUCAAAGUCUAUGGAUAUGUUACUUUGUAUUAUUACGCUGAGCUUUAGAUAAAUAUAAAAAUAUUGUUUUUAUGCCUCUACAUCUAAAUCACAAGCUAAACGAAAUAGAUCGAGUUUAUAAACGAGUUGAACUGAACUAAUUUAGGGGGUGUUUGAAUGUACUAGAGCUAAUAGUUAGUGGCUAAAAUUAACUAUUUUUACUAUUUUUAGUAAAUUAGUUAAUAGUUAGCUAGCUAUUUGUUAGCUACGUAAGAGUAACUCCAAGAGAUUAGUUAAAAAGACUAGCCAAAUUUACUGAUUUAGCUACUCUCUAAAAUAGAUUUUAAAGAAAAAGUGUAGGCUAAUCCAACAGUCUCGGUAAACCUACGGACUGAAUAGAGAGUGAAGCAGACUAUCCAAAAUUAUAGUAGUUCAAGUUAUGAUGAAUCUAGUAACUUCAUUUUUAUAUUGUAAAAUUUUAUGAAAUAUCUAGUAUAACAGGUAGUGAUUGAUUUAGGAUAAAAUUAAAAAGGACUAAUUCAUGUGGACCAAGAAAGUAGUACGAUUUGGAGUUAUCAUCAACCUUGCGUUCACCUCUAACUACAUAAAUGUCACGUGUCUCAUCCUGCAGGCAUGACCCCUCGGAUUCCAGUGAUUGUGUCACCGUGCGUGUGUUUGGUUGGACGUAGAAGAAGUGAUGGAAGGAGACGGUCACAUUUUUAAUUAUGUUUGAAUGAUAGUCAUGCGGGAGCGAGAUGAACACCGAAGCAAUUUUUUGUGCCGGCAUGGUCCUAAAAAAUCGAGAGAACGGUGUCACCCUCAGCUCAUCCUAGUUUAACCUUAUAAACCAAACACAUUUUGGUGCCGGGAACCAAUGAUGUUGAGUUGUUGACAAUGACGAACCAACCCCACUGUCAGAGCAUUGCCCUCCUUGGAUUGGAUCUUCCAUGUUCUGACGCCACUGUCUUUUCCCUUUGCUCCGACUCCGAUCGCCCCUUCUUCAAAUUCCAAACCAGCUCCAACGAGACCAUGUCAGCUCAAUCGACGUAUAUACUUGGGACUUGUUCGUUUGUGUCGGAUUGCACCCGGAAUCGUUCCACCUAAUCAAAGUUUAUAUAAAUCAAAGAAACAAUCCGGUUAGGAAUCGUUUCGACCAACUAAUACGACAGAAACGAACAAGGCCUUGAUCUUCACCAUGUUUACCUAUACUUCGUUGAAUGGGAAUACCGGUGCCAUGAACAAAUGCUGAAAUCCGCGAGACGAAACGUCCAACGGCAUGGUGGCCAUGCCCUUCCUCGACGUCCUCAUCCCCUCGGGCAACCGUGGGAACUAUCACUUGUUCCAAACAACGGGGAUGGACGGAGUAGCGAGAAAGAAGGAAGGAAGGAAGCGGCCACGCCAUAGUUGUGCAGGGGAGGCUUCCAGGGAAGCGUGGUCACCGCGGGGAGAAAGAUGGGCCAUCAAACCGUCCGCCCUGUCAUCGAACUUCUAAAACUUUGCUACUACAAUAGAUCGAACUUCUAAAAGUACUCGUAUUUAUUUUAUACUUGUGAUAAUUUAAGGUGGGUGCAAUUUUUAGUUGGCAGCGUACAGGGCUCCAUAGGAUCAUCAUACCAGAAAAGGCGAAGAUGGAUGAACGGGCAAACAGUUCACCUCCGGUCCCACAUGGCGCAUCCGAUCUGGACAGCUGCGGUCCUUUUUGCAUUUUCCAGCCGGUGCUGGAUCGCCUCUUUCCAUCACGU
rnacentral:lncRNA from 1 species